UCCCCCUUAGCUCAGUCGGUAGAGCGUCAGACUGUUAAUCUGCAGGUCGAUAUUCAACCCACCAGGGGGA
rnacentral:tRNA from 1 species